rnacentral:rRNA from 1 species
UGGGGAAUAUUGGACAAUGGGCGCAAGCCUGAUCCAGCCAUGCCGCGUGAGUGAUGAAGGCCUUAGGGUUGUAAAGCUCUUUCGCCGACGAAGAUAAUGACGGUAGUCGGAGAAGAAGCCCCGGCUAACUUCGUGCCAGCAGCCGCGGUAAUACGAAGGGGGCUAGCGUUGUUCGGAAUCACUGGGCGUAAAGCGCACGUAGGCGGAUUGUUAAGUCAGGGGUGAAAGCCUGGAGCUCAACUCCAGAACUGCCCUUGAUACUGGCAAUCUCGAGUCCGGAAGAGGUAAGUGGAACUGCGAGUGUAGAGGUGAAAUUCGUAGAUAUUCGCAAGAACACCAGUGGCGAAGGCGGCUUACUGGUCCGGUACUGACGCUGAGGUGCGAAAAGCGUGGGGAGCAAAACAGGAUUAGAUACCCUGGUAGUCCACGCCGUAAAACGAUGGAGGCUAGCCGUUGGCGAGCAUGCUCGUCAGUGGCGCAGCUAACGCAUUAAGCCUCCCGCCUGGGGAGUACGGUCGCAAGAUUAAAACUUAAAUGAAUUGACGGGGUCAUAGCUGUUUCC